rnacentral:rRNA from 1 species
AGUGAACGCUGGCGGCGUGCCUAAUACAUGCAAGUCGAACGGAGUGGCGCACGGGUGAGUAAUGUAUAGCUAAUCUGCCCUACACUAGAGGACAACAGUUGGAAACAGCUGCUAAUACUCCAUAGUGUAGGAUGAGGCUAUAUUGUAUCAGCUAGUUAGUGAGGUAAUGGCUCACCAAGGCUAUGACGCAUAACUGGUCUGAGAGGAUGAUCAGUCACACUGGAAGGGAGACACGGUUCAGACAUCUACGGGAGGCAGCAGUAGGGAAGAGUGGUCAAUGGGGGAGACCGUGAAGCAGCAACGGGGCGUGGAGGAUGACACUUUUCGGAGCGUAAACUCCUGUUGUUAGGGAAGCGGUACCUAACGAAUAAGCACCGGCUAACUCCGUGCCAGCCGCCGCGGUAAUAC